GAUCUAUUCUGACACCACUUCAUAUACUAAAAUUGGAAUGAUACUGAGAAGAUUAGCAUGGUCUCUGUGCAAGGAUGACACAUGGCUUCAUGAGUGUUCCAUAUCAUUU
rnacentral:snRNA from 1 species